GCAUCUCCAAUUAUGGUCUUUUUGGGCUGUUAAAAGCUAUAAUUUAUGGAUUAUACCAUUUAUCAACAAAAAAUUCAUCUCCAACGGGUGAUGUAAAAUUUAGAUGGCCAUGUAAAAUGAUAACCCCAGCUGCUAUCUAUAGCUGUUCCUAUUCAUGGCUGCUAAAUCAAAAUAAUAUUAAAAUAAUCAAAAAGUAACAAAAGUUAAUACUAUAUUUUAUCAUGAUAAAGUUGAAAUGGUUGAAAAGUAAUAU
rnacentral:lncRNA from 1 species